GAGUUUGAUCCUGGCUCAGAUUGAACGCUGGCGGCAGGCUUAACACAUGCAAGUCGAACGGUAACAGGGAGAAAGCUUGCUUUCUUUGCUGACGAGUGGCGGACGGGUGAGUAAUGCUUGGGAAUCUGGCCUAUGGAGGGGGAUAACUACGGGAAACUGUAGCUAAUACCGCGUAGAAUCGGGAGAUGAAAGUGUGGGACCGCAAGGCCACAUGCCAUGGGAUGAGCCCAAGUGGGAUUAGGUAGUUGGUAAGGUAAAGGCUUACCAAGCCGACGAUCUCUAGCUGGUCUGAGAGGAUGACCAGCCACACUGGAACUGAGACACGGUCCAGACUCCUACGGGAGGCAGCAGUGGGGAAUAUUGCACAAUGGGGGGAACCCUGAUGCAGCCAUGCCGCGUGAAUGAAGAAGGCCUUCGGGUUGUAAAGUUCUUUCGGUGAUGAGGAAGGCAGUUACUUUAAUAGAGUAGUUGAUUGACGUUAGUCACAGAAGAAGCACCGGCUAACUCCGUGCCAGCAGCCGCGGUAAUACGGAGGGUGCGAGCGUUAAUCGGAAUAACUGGGCGUAAAGGGCACGCAGGCGGUGACUUAAGUGAGAUGUGAAAGCCCCGGGCUUAACCUGGGAAUUGCAUUUCAUACUGGGUCGCUAGAGUACUUUAGGGAGGGGUAGAAUUCCACGUGUAGCGGUGAAAUGCGUAGA
rnacentral:rRNA from 1 species